CAGCCGCCACGGUAAUACGUAGGUGGCAAGCGUUGUCCGGAAUUAUUGGGCGUAAAGGGCUCGCAGGCGGUUUCUUAAGUCUGAUGUGAAAAUGCAGGGCUCAACUCUGUAUUGCGUUGGAAACUGUAUGCCUUGAGUGCAGGAGAGGAAAGCGGAAUUUCCAGUGUAGCGGUGAAAUGCGUAGAUAUUGGGAGGAACACCAGUGGCGAAGGCGGCUUUCUGGACUGCAACUGACGCUGAGGCUCGAAAGCCAGGGGAGCGAACGGGAUUAGAUACCCCCGUAGUCCCUGUCUCUUAUACA
rnacentral:rRNA from 1 species